UGGAAUCUGUUGAAAAGGCUCUAGGUUAAUUCUUAUUGGUGCGUUGUGAAUGAUUGACAGUCGCAACUUAGUCCCGCCCCCAGAGUCUGACGCAACUUAUGUUUCGUUUGAAGGCUGUGGAGGGCUCGCGUGUAUUCAAGCCAUAGAUGAGUGUGCGUAACUUUGAAAAAACCACACUCACACAACCUUAAUGUUCAUGCAAUACCCUGAGGAUGUUGAUGGCUUGAUCCUUCUAUUAAAACUGUGAUUGGACUUUG